CAACUCCUUCUUUCACCUGUUUUUCAACGAACUUGCGGUAAGCUGCGGGGUCAUUCUCACAAAGAUCAUCCAGCAUGGACCAAAACUGGUUAACCUGUCUUAAAACAUCGUCUGGACUGCCGUUGGAGGCCAUAUUAAGAUCCAGCCCAAGAAUUCAGCCACUUUGGUGUAAACUCCAGGAUGGUUGGGCUCAGCACAGCCUGUCCCCCAGCUGACGACCCCUACCAGCCUCCACACAUUUUCAUCCUGGCAAACCAGAGGACCUCCACUGUCCCCCUGAAGAGUGGAACGUCUUGAAGCAAAAAUUCCAAACCAAAUCUGCUAAAUCCCUGAAGUUUGUCGUACUGAAACCGUGCCGGGAGAAUACAGGAGGAGAGCACCACAAAAUGUCAAUCCGCAGACCAGGUGUAUGCUCAGUGACCUGGUUACAGACACACAGAAACUUCAUCACAUCCUCAAGCUGCGCCACCAAUGCAGCUCCUUCAAGCCGCGGACGUCCGCCUGUCUCCACGAGUACGAAACUCGCCUCGCCGAGUAUCCCACAGGAUGCUUCGUUUCAGCACAGCUCUGGAGCGACACGAGACCGAAAUGUCAGGCACAGGUGUGCCGACAGAGGAAGACAAUCAUAAGGCAGCUCCCCUUCUGGCUCACAGACCGUCUUGGUUCUAAUGAUUAGUGAUGAGUCAAACGCCGCCAAGCUCGCACAAUUAUGUAAGCAUCUGCAAUCAAGCCUAAUGAGAUUUGUCAUUGAGCCCCUCUGUAACUUUUUUGUGUUUUCUGUGACAAAAUCUAAACUGACAAGUACAUAAAUAAAGGACAAACAGACGAAAACAAAAGAAAAAAAAAACAGAGCAAGUCGUGAAGCAGAAGUUAUCCAUCAUCGAGUCGAAGCGUCCGGCCCCGGUCCCCGCUGAGAGGCUCCUCUCCGCUGAUGCAGAGGAAUGCAUAUCAAAUAGCCUGGGAGGCAGCCUGUUGUGUGAGACACGCUUCUACACAAAUAAUCAAACGGAUUUUUUGUGAAAUCGGGCUUUUUAAGUAACGGCGCUAUGUGACACCAAGGCCUCUUUAUAUCAAAUCCCUCACAAAGACCCGAUUGAAAACUUCCCGAGACGUCUCACUGUUAAGACAUGAGAGCAGGUGUCCCCGAGAAUAAAUUAACAUAUCUGCUGGUGCUCCUCCCAGCUGUUAGCUCUCAUAGUAUUUUAACAUGAAAACACACGUCUGUCAGUAAAAAUGCAGCGCAGUGGUUGUUUUCUUCUUGUUUCUCUUCUUACAGCAAAAUGUCACUGAGACUACAAUUGUGCCCUCUUUCUUUUGGCUUUGACAAGUGAUUACCCAACUGUAGUCACGUUUUCAUUCAGUUUCAUUUUCCAUUACUUGAGACAGUUAAAAUCGGUUUCAAAUAUACUGUGAUGCUGCAGGAAAAUGUUUGUACAUAAAUGUGUGUGUUACUGUUACCUGUGC